rnacentral:rRNA from 1 species
GAUGAGCCUUUGGCCUAUCAGCUAGUUGGUGAGGUAAUAGCUCACCAAGGCUAUGACGGGUAGCUGGUCUGAGAGGACGACCAGCCACACUGGGACUGAGACACGGCCCAGACUCCUACGGGAGGCAGCAGUGGGGAAUAUUGGGCAAUGGGCGAAAGCCUGACCCAGCGACGCCGCGUGGGUGAUGAAGGCCUUCGGGUCGUAAAGCCCUGUCAUGCGGGAAGAACGGCUCCAUGGUUAAUACCCAUGGGGAUUGACGGUACCGCAGGAGGAAGCACCGGCUAACUCCGUGCCAGCAGCCGCGGUAAUACGGAGGGUGCUAGCGUUGUUCGGAAUUAUUGGGCGUAAAGGGCGCGUAGGCGGUUAUGUAAGUCAGAUGUGAAAUACUUCGGCUCAACCGAAGAACUGCAUUUGAUACUACUUAGCUAGAGUACAGAAGAGGGAAAUGGAAUUCCCGGUGUAGAGGUGAAAUUCGUAGAUAUCGGGAGGAACACCAGUGGCGAAGGCGAUUUCCUGGUCUGAUACUGACGCUGAGGCGCGAAAGCGUGGGGAGCAAACAGGAUUAGAU